rnacentral:rRNA from 1 species
CCUACGGGAGGCAGCAGUAGGGAAUUUUGCGCAAUGGGCGAAAGCCUGACGCAGCAACACCGCGUGAAUGUUAAGCCCUUCGGGGUGUAAAGUCCUGUCAAUCGGGACGAAUUUGGACUGUACCUAUAAAGCACUCCCCGGCCAACUCCGUGCCAGCCGCCGCGGUCAUACGGGGGGUGCACGCGUUGUCCGGAAUCAUUGGGCGUAAAGCGUUCGUAGGCGGCAAGGUAUGUCUGAUGUUAAAGCCCGGGGCUCAACUCCGGUUCGGAAUUGGAUACUAUCUAGCUAGAGUGUGGUAGAGGUGAGGGGAAUUCCUGGUGUAGCGGUGAAAUGCGUAGAUAUCAGGAGGAACAUCAGUGGCGAAAGCGCUUGACUGGACCAUAAUUGACGCUGAGGAGCGAAAGCCAGGGGAGCAAAUGGGAUUAGAUACCCUUGUAGUC